rnacentral:lncRNA from 1 species
ACUUAAAGUCAUCUACAGAAAACAGGUCUCUGCCAAGGUUCUCAACCAUCCAUUGCCUUGCUAGCUUCUGGCUAUGGUAUUCUCCUAAGGAUAUAACUUCUUUUCUUCAUAGCCCCUUUUAACAGUUCUUAACAGCUUGUGUCUUUGUGUGUAUUGUAGACAAUAGUCUACAAUUACAGUAUCACAUAGUAUCUUUCCAACUGAAUUUCCAUUUCAUUCCCAUUCAACACAUUGAAAGCAGCUAAUCUUAUAGAUAGUGUUUGCUUAUUUUUGCUAAGUCAUUCACCCUUUUUCUUUUAUUCUGUGGUAAAUAAGUCAUGAUUAAAUAUAAGAUUUAAAAUCUUGUUUCUAAAAACAUUUCUCAUGUUUUAGCAGCUGCCAUAUCAAUAUGCUUGGUAGAUUUGCAUUGAGUAUGUAUUGUUUCUCUUUACAAAUGGAAAGCAGGAACAGAACAAGUGUCAAAGAGAAAUAGAAGAAUGGUGGCAAAAAGAACAAUAAGGUAUGAGAUGAAAUGUUUUGAAUGCUCAUUAAGCUGCUUUCUCUUUAGAAAAUGUUUCAAAGGUGGUGAAAGAUGUUGCUCACUACCAACGGUGAUGAGAGAAUCUACCAUUUUGAUAGAAAAACCUUGGGCAAGGUUCUGACAAAAGUGAAAUAUUGGUAUAGUACAGAGGUUGGUUAUCAGUAGUUAUAAAGAAAUUAUCAUCAUGAAUGAGUAAAAGGUUUUUGGUACUUCAUGAGGAGCAGUUGAGCAUGUUAGUACCUGGGAAACUGAUACCCUGGCCCUGAGGAUCAAGGAAGACCAGACAUGACUUUUGUGGAGGUGAAGUGUUUCUCCCAUUCCCUUCCCAACAUGAAGAGGAAGGGGAGGCUUUCCUCUGUUAUGCCUUCUGAUUUAUGGCAAACAUGUUGCUUUGCAUCACCUAUUAAAUUAGAAGAUCUUUCAGGCAAGGACUGAAUAUUCAUAUUUCCCCUGUUACUGUAAGAGGGAAAGCUCAGACAUUGCUGGA